GCAUUAAUGGGGUAGUGGUAACCUGGGUCGUUGCCAUCUGAAAUCGUGUGUCCAGUUUCGACCCGCCGGGGGUUCGAUUCCCUCUUAAUGCA